ACUCACAAGAAAAACUGUUUUGUUCAGAAUUAAUAUAAAAAUUUUUGAUGCUAUGAGAUGGUCUCAUCAAUGUGCAACAAUUGAACUGGAUUUCCAACUUCCUGAGAGAUUCAACCUCACGCUAGGAUUUUAUGGCUUUCUCCCCAUCAAGUUGUAGUAAUUCCUGUCAGUAGUAAAUAUGAUGAUUAUGCCGAACCGGUAAAUUUAAUUUGAUUCAAAAGAAGUUCCAUGCAGCUGGUUAUCGUGUUGAUACAGACUUGGAUCACGGAUCAACACUAAGUAAGAAAGUUCGCAAUGCACAACUUUCACAGUACAACUUCAUUCUUGACGUCAUGACACUUCCAACAUUGAAACAAAAUCAAGCAUGGCAGAAGAGAAACAACGACGCCAGGUUGAAGAUAGCUUGAUGAAAUUGAACGUAGUUGAAGCACCUAGCAUACGCUCGAGAGUUUUGGAUGAGGACUCGUCAACCACUGAAAACAUGAAUGAGUCCAAGCAUGUUUACGACGAUAAAGGCUCUUGCGAGGCAACUUUUCAAACGAAGUUUGUGGAGUGGGGUCAUCCUCCAGUUGGAUGUUGCUCUCUAUCUUUACCUCAUUUAUUUAAUCAUUCACAGUGCCUUCGAGAAACAGACGUUGAUGGUCAACAGUAAUAUACAAGAACUUGAGGAUAAAAAUCACGAGGAAUGCGAUUUGUUUCAAAAGUACAUCAGCAACGAUGAUAUUUUUGAUGGCAUCGUAAGAAGAUGGUGGACGAGCUUACAGGAAUGAUUUACCAUCAAGGUAUAUUUACGAUCAGACUUAUGGCGCGUGCAAAUAUUUAUUGUACAAAUAGGAUAUUGUGUCCCCAAUGAUCCGUUUGUAACCUUUACGCAGCGGAAUUUGUAGCGUUGUUGGUGUAAAUCAUUCGUAACUUGAGUUGAAUAACAAAACAUACUCGUUCAUUGAA